UUAGUAUUUUUUUUUCUAGUUUCAUCUGCCCAGAAUUAUUUUGGAGUUGGGUGGCCUUUAAAUCUAAUAAACGAAGAAAUAAAAUUCCCAGCACUUAACAAUGGACAAUGAAAGAUAGGUGAAACUUCCUUUGCUAACUUUGUUUCUGCUGGGAAGGCACAGAUCAUCCUUGGCAGAUGUUUGAAUUGAUCUCAUACGAAGCACUUUGGGGAUUCGCUCAAGAGCCAUAACCUGUCCAACUUUUCCACAAAGAGCAACUGAUUGAUUGCAGCGCUGUGUAAUACUUAAUGGGAUAAAGCCAUCUAGCAUGUGCUUAUCUUGCUGUUGGUAGACACAUCUCCAAGUUUGCUUGUUUUCAUCCAGUGCUUCGACAGUUCCAAGCCCAUGUGUGAUGAACGGACAAGAUGGACCACAUCUUCUUACAUGUAAACCAUCAGCUGUGUCAUCCGCUCCUUGAAUUGAAAUAAACUUGGGUUUAUCUUGCUGGA